GAUGAACGCUGGCGGCGUGCCUAAUACACGCAAGUCGAGCGAACAGAUGAGAAGCUUGCUUCUCUGAUGUUAGCGGCGGACGGGUGAGUAACACGUGGGUAACCUACCUAUAGACUGGGAUAGCUCCGGGAAACCGGGGCUAAUACCGGAUAAUAUUUUGAACCGCAUGGUUCGAUAGUGAAAGACGGUUUCGGCUGUCACUUAUAGAUGGACCCGCGCCGUAUUAGCUAGUUGGUAAGGUAACGGCUUACCAAGGCGACGAUACGUAGCCGACCUGAGAGGGUGAUCGGCCACACUGGAACUGAGACACGGUCCAGACUCCUACGGGAGGCAGCAGUAGGGAAUCUUCCGCAAUGGGCGAAAGCCUGACGGAGCAACGCCGCGUGAGUGAUGAAGGUCUUCGGAUCGUAAAACUCUGUUGUUAGGGAAGAACAAAUUUGUUAGUAACUGAACAAGUCUUGACGGUACCUAACCAGAGAGCCACGGCUAACUACGUGCCAGCAGCCGCGGUAA
rnacentral:rRNA from 1 species